rnacentral:rRNA from 1 species
GGGCACCCACAAGAACGCGUGGAGCAUGUGGCUUAAUUUGACUCAACGCGGGGAAUCUUACUAGGUCCGGACCGAGUCUAUGAACGUCGUACCGUUGGGUGCUACGUGAUUACUGGAUGAGUGGUGCAUGGCCGUUCUUAGUUCGUGGUGUUAAUUGUCUACUUAAUUGUUUCGGCCAUGUAUCUCUCAGUACAGUCCUUACAACGAACGAGAUCGAGACCCGUGGUUGCGUUGUGUUUGAAUUCGGUAUUACUACGGGGAUCGCGUAAUUACUCAACGGUACGAUCGAAAGACUCGGCAAUAACAGGUCUGUGAUGCCCUCAGAUGUUCUAGGCUGCACACGUGCUACAUUGUGAGUUGUAGUAUAUUGUGUAUGCGUAGAUAUGUCUAAGAUCCCCCGCAUCGAGUCUCAAUUACUCACGUGGUUGGACUCACCGAUUGUUGUAAUUAUUCGGUAUACUAACUAGGAAU